UACGAAGGGGGCUAGCGUUGCUCGGAAUCAUUGGGCGUAAAGGGUGCGUAGGCGGGUCUUUAAGUCAGGGGUGAAAUCCUGGAGCUCAACUCCAGAACUGCCUUUGAUACUGAAGAUCUUGAGUCCGGGAGAGGUGAGUGGAACUGCGAGUGUAGAGGUGAAAUUCGUAGAUAUUCGCAAGAACACCAGUGGCGAAGGCGGCUCACUGGCCCGGUACUGACGCUGAGGCACGAAAGCGUGGGGAGCAAACAGG
rnacentral:rRNA from 1 species